AGUACACGAAUCAGGGGAAGGUGAGAACCUUCGUCAGGUUCGACAAUGCGCAGCAUUGAACAGCGGAACGCAGUGACGCUGGCCUGCAAGGCGAGCACAGCGAGUAAUCCUUCCCCCUCCACCA
rnacentral:sRNA from 1 species